AGUACAGAAUGCCCAGCUAAAUUUGAAUUUCAGAUAAACAAUAAAUAAUUUUUGGUAUAAGUAUGUCCCAUGCAAUAUUUGAGACAUACUUAUACUAAAAAAAAUCAUUACUGUUUUUCUGAAAUUUACAUUUGACUGGGCAUCCUGUAUUU
rnacentral:miRNA from 1 species